rnacentral:tRNA from 5 species
GGGCCGGUAGCUCAGCCUGGAAGAGUGUCCGGCUUGCAACCGGAAGGUCCCGGGUUCAAAUCCCGGCCGGUCCA